rnacentral:misc_RNA from 1 species
GAUGAAGAACGCAGCGAAAUGCGAUAAGUAAUGUGAAUUGCAGAAUUCAGUGAAUCAUCGAAUCUUUGAACGCACCUUGCACCCUUUGGUAUUCUGAAGGGUAUGCUCGUUUGAGUGUCAUUGUACUCUCACACUCCCGAUCUUGAGUUGGGAGCGGUGGACUUGGGCUUGCUGCUUUACUGUAGCUCACCUCAAAUGUGUUAGUGCAGCUCUUGGUUGGACAUAGUACGGCGUGAUAAGUAUCUUCGCCGGUGCCUCGCAAAGAGGGUGGCCGAUUGGGAUGUUGUGCUCCAAACUGUCUUCGGACAAUCUCUGACAACUUGACCUCAAAUCGAGUAAGACUACCCGCUGAACUUAAGCAUAUCAAUAAGCGGAGGA